rnacentral:lncRNA from 1 species
GCAGAAGACAUCUAGAAAGAGAAGGUUGAAAAGAUGUUCGAGUGUUUGAGGUAGAAAAUGAGAAACAAGCUGUUGGAGACAAGCAUACAAGAUAGAGGUCCAAGUAAUUGGAAGAUAGAAAAGUCCGAAGCCAAAAAAUUGGAUAAGUACAAGACGCAAAACUAAGAAAAAUAAUUUUUAAUAGUUAAAUUUAUUUAAAAAGCCCAUCAACUUUAAUUUGUGGUGGUGCAGAAGUUAGAUCUGAGAAGAGGGUUUUAAACUACAGUAGACCAAGACCAACUUAGAAGAAUAUCUCGAAGCUGUAGAGGGAAGUAAAUUUAAAAUCACAGCAAAAAGCUACUAAAAAGACUGAUGUAAAAAUUAAGGUAGACGGAAGAGUUAAAAAUUUGAAAGGCCUUAAAUCCAUACAGUAGUUUAGUUUCUUCUGGAAAACUUAAAGGACGAUAAAUUCAACAGCGAGGAUAACCAAGUUAACAUUUUUUGCAUUGGACUUUGAGCUAAGAUGAAUUUCUAAACCCUGAGGACUAGGCGCUAAUUAACAGCUGACCAGGUGCUACACAGAAGUGGAUUCAGAGAACCUAGGAAGACAGCAGCAGACAGGAUUCCAGGAGCCAGUUUUUGGUGAAACUAGGACUGAGGAGCGAGCGGCAGUUCGUGAAGAUAGGAAGGAGGAGCCCGGGAGCCAGUGCGAUUUGGUGAAGGAAGCUAGGAAGAAGGAAGGAGCCCUAACGGUUGGAGGUGAAGCUAGGAGAGGAUUCCAGGAAGGAGGAAGCCAGUGCGAUGUGGUGAUGAAGCUAGCGUGCGGCUUGGCGGCGUGGCUUGGCAACCCCGCGGAGGAGGCGAGCAGGCGUGGUGUGGUAAAAAUCCGUGAGGUCGGCAGUAUCGUGGGUUCUGCUUUGUUUCUUCACCUUUUUUUGGUAACAGUACGGUAAUCUUUGUUGUAUUUCCUAAUGGUGAUGGGGGAGCUGUGUACUUAAGCAUAAAGGGUUUUAUGGGGAUGUAGGCCGAUUUUCGGGUGUUGUAGGUUUCUCUUUUUCAGGCGUAUUUUCUCAUCUUGUCUGAAGCUUUUGAGGGCAGACUACCAAGGCCCGGAGGAAUAGUAGAUGGCAAGUGUUUUCGUUUUUAACCAAUAUGAGGGAAAACAAAUGAAUUUGAUAGAACAACCUUGAGACAGUUUCAGCCAGCUUUGUAAGCAGGUUUUAUAUUUAGCUUGGUAAUGAAGCAUUUCCGUUUUGUGAGUAGAUGACUUAAUUUUCUUUCUCAUUCUCUAUUCUAAGUUACCUAUAUAUAUAUAGUUGGGUGUGUAAUUCGGGGGGGUAAAGGUUUUGGGGGGGCAAAAUAUGUUUUGAGUUCUUUUCCCCUUAGGUCUGUCUAGAAUUCCAAAGGCAAAUGACUCAAGGUAACAGGAAAAAA